AUCCUUACUGCUCUCCGAUAUCGGAUCCAGAGGCAUUAGCAAUAGAUGCUCUUCUUCUGGACUGGAACGGACUCGACGUCUACGCGUUUCCCCCCUUCAAGAUCCUGGGGCUAACCAUCAAGAAGUUCGUAGAGUCCGAUUCAACGAGAAUGACCUUAAUCGCUCCCUUUUGGCCGGCCCAAGAAUGGUUCACAGAGGUACUGGAAUGGUUGGUGGACCUUCCAAGAUCGCUCCCGCUAAGGAGCGAUCUACUCAGACAACCCCACUUCGACAGGUACCACAAAAAUCUCCUCGCUCUCAGUCUGACUGGCUUCAGACUGUCCAAAGUUUGGUCAGAGCGAAAGGCUUUUCAGCAACAGCUGCUAAAGCAAUCGCAAGAGCGAGGAGACCUUCCACCUUGCGUGUAUACCAGUCAAAGUGGGAUGUCUUCAGACGUUGGUGCAAGAGGAAGAACAUUUCCUCUUCCAGUACCUCUGUGACCCAAAUUGCGGAUUUCCUUAUUUUCCUCAAAGAAGAAUGUCAUCUGGUUGUGUCAACUAUUAAGGGAUACCGCAGUAUGUUGGCGGCGGUAUUUCGGCAUAGAGGCUUAAAGAUAUCCGAUGAUAAGGACUUGCAUGAUCUUAUUAGAUCAUUUGAAACCAUUAAGCGUCCUCAUGUGGUACCAAACUGGAAUCUAGACGUAGUUCUACAAUUCCUUGGAUCGUCUAGAUUCGAACCUCCUAGCUUAGCCUCUUUCAAGGAUCUGACGAAGAAGGCUAUCUUCCUUUUGGCCCUUGCUACAGCUAAGAGAGUGAGUGAGCUCCAAGCUAUUGAGGGCAAUGUAGGGUUUAAGGAAGAUUCUAUGGUGUGUUCGUUUCUUCCAAAUUUCCUUGCAAAGAAUGAAAACCCAUCACGGCCUUGGCCCAGGAGCUUUGAAGUUCGUAGUUUAUCUUUUCUAGUAGGGGAAGAGCCUGAAAGAACUCUUUGCCCUAUGAGAAUUAUGAAGUAUUUCCUAAGAGGAAGGAACAACUUAAGGCGAAUCAAGAUGUGCUUUGGUGCUCUGUAAAGGACCCCACUCGGCCCAUGUCGAAGAAUGCUCUUUCCUUUUUUCUGAGAAGCCUUAUUACAGAGGCACAUGUUGCUUGUAAGGAAGAACAUUUUAAACUACUGAAAGUGAAAGCUCACGAGGUGAGAGCCAUUGCAACUUCGCUUGCAUUCAGAAAAAUAUGUCUGUGCGGAACUUGAUGGAGGCGACCUUUUGGAGAUGCCAAUCGGUUUUCGCAAACCACUACCUACGUGAUGUAAAAAUCACAUAUGAUAAAUGCUUCGCCUUGGGUCCUUUCGUAUCGGCGGAUUCGGUGCUGGGGCAGGGAGCUGAAACUUAUCCUGUGUAAAUUCUUUAUAUGUUACCCUAUAUUUUAUAUUGUUGUUUUUUGGUUGUCUGAAAGAGGUUGCAGGAGGCACCUCUUUUUGUCGUAAUAUUAACCCUUUGUAUUUUGGUUAGGUGGUCUGGUGGGUUUUGGCUCCUUGCAGAGGUAGUGGUAAGGAUCUGUUAGGUAAGCGGACAAGGUCCCUCUAACAGCAUCCGACUUGGAUUCUACCACAAUAGGGGAUCACAUAUCCCAGUGGUAGAUCCGAGAGUCUUUCAGCAUCAGGUCACGUCCUAGCUGUAGCUCUCCAGGCAAUGCAAGACUCAGAGAUAGUAUCUAUGAAGUCUUCAUCCUGAAAAGGUGAGAACCAAGGUUUUUAUAUCCUACAACAUUAGUUGUUUCCCGUCUUACCUGUAUUAUUGAGCUGUCUCUUACCCUCCACCAAGGGUGCCAAUCAGCUAAGUAUAUAUCUGUCAGGGAAGUUCAUGUACAAAAAUGAUAUUGUUAAACUACAAUAAAGUUUUGUACAUACUUACCUGGCAGAUAUAUACGAUUAAUGGCCCACCCAGCCUCCCCUCAGGAGACAGGUGGAAGAGAAAAAUCUGACAAGCUUACGGGAGUGGUUCGUACAUCCGCCACCCAGCGCGGGUAAGGUAGACCACCUGACCUACCUGUCGCGUGUGCCGCGAGAUUUGAAAUUCUGUCGGGAACGUCGGAGACUAUAGCUAAGUAUAUAUCUGCCAGGUAAGUAUGUACAAAACUUUAUUGUAGUUUAACAAUAUCAUUUUUAAAGUACUGAGUGUCAUGAAAUUUGCAUGUCUAAUCUGAGUUCAGUAGUGAAAAAGGAAAAAAAUUAUAUUUUGAUUAUAAAGUACUGAAUUUGGCAGAGAAUGCAGCAGAAUUCAAGAAUUUUGAUCAUGAGCAAUUAUAACAAUUUUCGGAAUGAUAAAUCCAUUACUAAUGCAUUAAAAGAUACUUUUGGAAAAAACAUUAUUUGCCAUGACUCUUAACUACUGUUAAAGUUAGCUUGUAUUUUUGUGCUUUUAGGUUUGUUCAGCAUUUGAAAUAAACAGAAUAGCACUUGGCUAACCCUCACCAGGACUUUCUUUGUAAUCACCUGUUUCCCACCAGGUGGUAUUAGAAUGUUUACAGUGUGAAGUGGCUUAUUUUCUCCUGUACAAUAUUGCAUUUGUUUUCAUUUUUUGUAUGUCAUCAACACCAAGUGGAGAUGCAAGCAUUCAUCUGUACUUAUAGGAACAAGUUAAUUCCUCUCUCGUGAUUGCGCCACCUUCUUAUGUUUCCUAUGUAGUUCAGGAGAAAAAUAAUAGGUAAUUGAGACAUAAUCCUCUUUUAUUGGCUAGAAAUUUUACCUUAUAUAUUAUGGUAAAGAUUGCGAUCUCCUCCUUAGUGAUCGACCUUUUCAAUUCCCCUCAUGAGAGAGGUGUCAGAGCCUGGAUGUCUGUUUGUAGUCCACCUUUUGGACUGUCGUAUAUCUGUUGAUCUUCUCUGCUGACAGGGAACCAUGGCAUGUCUCAGGGCCAAGAUACGUAUGUACCUUUUGCCACCUCUCUCAACUAUCUUGUGGCUCGAAUUCGACACUCUCGGAAAGACUCGUUUGGUAGUGCUAGCAUUUACUGGCUUAUGUAUUAUUCUUCUUUUGGAGAGAUUGAUUGUGUUAUGUGUGAAUUGGUAUAGACUUAUUACAUUUACUGAAGUAGUCUUUGAACCAUGCAUCAAUUCUAUUUUUAAUCAUUUGCUCACCCUGUAUUGUCCCUCAUUUCAGAUGUUAACCCUCCCCCUCUUACUCAAUUUCUUCUCUAUCACCUUGCAGGUGUCACUUUUUGACAAAUGUUUCUAUUUAUACAAGUAGCUCGUCCCCUUCCUCUGGGUAUUUAUUUCUUAAGUUAGGCUAGUCUUGAUAGAACAAGCUCUUGCUUCUUGGCAAUCACCUUAAAGUUUUGCAGAUGGUUCUGACUGUUGUCCAUGCUCCAUGAAGAUGUCAUGUGAGAACCCUCUGCCUUUUCCUACGCAGUCGUCUCACCCAGCUAUCUGGUACAUACCACUAGUAUUCUGUCACAUCAUUGCUGGUGUUCCCUGCUAUAUCUCCUUAUCUGGUGUUUAUCUUUCACCGUCUUUGUCUGUAGAUGUGCCGUUUUCUACCAUCUCAGUUCUUCCUUGUAGACUUUAAGUUUUUCAACCCAGAUUUGUUUGAUUCCUCUUUAGUUUUCAAGUGAUGCAUAGUUCACGUUGUUCUGCUAUCACUCCCUUUUGCCAAAGAUGAAUCCUUUGACAUACACUCUUUUGUAUGAUAUACUACCUCAGUUCUUGUUUAAAUGAGUAAGAACUUAACACUGCUUAUGGUUAAGCAUAUUAUCAAGAAAAGUCAUCGCCAUUUGGAAAAGGGAUUAACAGAAAAAAGAGAAAGCUAGUAAAGUAUUUAAAGUUAAAUAGCUCUUUUCAUUUCCCUUAAAACCAUUUGCUAGAGAAGGUUAUCAAUGCAGGUAAGUGGAAAUGGAACACUGUUUGUGCCUCACAUUAUGUGCAAAAUGUUCAAAUGUAGACAAGAAGUGUAAAGCCUUAGUCCUAUCACUGAGGUGGAGACACUUUCUCCUGAACCAAAUAUGAGAGUGACCUUGCUUUCUGUCUAGGUGUUAGUUGUUAGGAAGUCCCACAAUUGAAUCUGGGGAGCAUGAAGUUACACAUUGGUGUAUAGGAGCAUACCAUCAUAGCUGGAGGUAGUUGUUAUGUUUAGUUGUAGAUUGUCAGUUAUGGGCUUUUUACUCCGGAACAGGAGUCAUGAGUACUCUAUGAGAUAGUGCUUUUUCCCUGUAAGGAUCCUCUGAUAAGGUUUGCUACGAGGAUCUCACACCUUGCUGUGGUUCCAGCGUUUGGAAACAUUACCGCUCAAUAAAAAGCAUUAGUUCACAUGGCUGAUCAGUUGGUUUCUCAGGCUGCACUAACCCACCAUCCUAAUUCAAUGUAGUAAUCAGCUAACUUUAACAGUAGGUAAGAUUCUUUCCAAAUAAUGAAUUUUUUUUUUUAUAAAAUUGAUUAUUUGAAUACUUACCUACUAUUAAAAUUGGAAACCCACCCAGCCUCCCCACACCCUAGUAGAUGGUCAUGAAGAAUUCUGACAACAACAUAAACAUCCCAACACCACCUAGUGGAAAACAGGUGAUCUCAGAUAUAGCCCUAGCUGGUGAGCCAAGCAUUUUUUUGUUCCAAUGCCGAUCACACAUAAUAGCACGAAGAUAAAGGCUAACUUUAACUGUAGGUAAGUAUCCAAAUUAUUAAUUUUAUUACAAUUUUAAUUUUAUAUAUCAGGUGUUUUAAAAUAUUUUUUAUAAAGUUUACAAUGCAUAUUUUAACAAUAAUACAGUAUUCGUACCUGAAUGUGUGCCACAUUGCACAUUGCUGUAGAGCAAGCAUAGGAAUGUCAGAAUAUUUUCAUUCUUGAGGAUAUUUUUUUUAAAAUUCCAAUACAUAUUGAAAACUGAAAUAUACAAAUCAGUACAUACUGUAAAAUAAUUUAAUCAAGAACUGAAUUUAAGGUGCCGGAUGAAGGUACACUAUGUUGAUUUCAGUUUUUCUUAUGUGUGUAAUUAUGGUGAUCUCAAAAAUAAAGCAAUUUUUAUUCUUUAUUGAAACAGGUUUUAAGAAGUUCAUUUUUUUAAGUUACAUGGUAACGAUUGUAAUUUAUAUUUUAGCUCUUUUCCUAUUUAAGACAUUAUUUAUACUUGUAUAUCAAUAAUACAGUUCAGUUUUGAAAAUAAUUGGGUUUAUUGAGCAAUAAUUGAUUUCCAAAAAUGUUUUUGUCACUCAACAGUUCUACAUUCCUUUAAUGUCUUCCAAAAAACUGCUGUGAAAGUUUUACUGCUAAUUUGCUUUGGUACUAUAGUUAUCUAACUUAGCUAAAACUUGAAGUGAAGAGAGUCUUCAUUGCAUAGCCUCUUAGAUGCUUAUAGGAACUCCUCGACAGAUGCAGUCACAGGUAUCACAAAUUCUUGUGAGCACAAUAAUGUCACACAAUGAUUAUUUACAUUUCAAUUAUUGUGCCUUAAUUGUGAGGUCACAGAUUGAACAUACCAGUAUUAACCAAUACUGUAACAAGUAGUUUAUCAGUUUUUAUUUUUGUCUCAUGUUAUAGUUUUGCUUUUAAAUUGAUAUCUGGAUGGUAUUCAUGUUGAUAAUUUCAGUUAUAAUAAUAUCUUCUUGUACAGAUAUUUGAAAUGUUUCUUGGCUUUUGAGGUAAACUUGGAUGUUUUCAUAUUUUAAAAUAAUUUUUCACUGUGUUAAUAAACAAUUUAUUGUUUAA